GACGAACGCUGGCGGCGUGCCUAAUACAUGCAAGUUGAGCGAUGAAGCUUGGUGCUUGCACCAAUUUGAAGAGCAGCGAACGGGUGAGUAACGCGUGGGGAAUCUGCCUUUGAGCGGGGGACAACAUUUGGAAACGAAUGCUAAUACCGCAUAACAACUUUAAACAUAAGUUUUAAGUUUGAAAGAUGCAAUUGCAUCACUCAAAGAUGAUCCCGCGUUGUAUUAGCUAGUUGGUGAGGUAAAGGCUCACCAAGGCGAUGAUACAUAGCCGACCUGAGAGGGUGAUCGGCCACAGUGGGACUGAGACAAGGCCCAAACUCCUACGGGAGGCAGCAGUAGGGAAUCUUCGGCAAUGGACGAAAGUCUGACCGAGCAACGCCGCGUGAGUGAAGAAGGGUUUCGGAUCGUAAAACUCGGUUGGUAGAGAAGAACGUUGGUGAGAGUGGAAAGCUCAUCAAGUGACGGUAACUACCCAGAAAGGGACGGCUAACUACGUG
rnacentral:rRNA from 1 species